AAUAUUGCGCAAUGGGGGAAACCCUGACGCAGCAACGCCGCGUGAGCGAUGAAGGCCNNNGGGUCNUCAAGCUCUGUCUUUAGNGACNAUAAUGACGGUACCUAAGGAGGAAGCCACGGCUACCUACGUGCCAGCAGCCGCGGUACUACGUAGGUGGCGAGCGUUGUCCGGAAUUACUGGGCGUAAAGGGUGCGUAGGCGGAAGCUUAAGUCAGAUGUGAAAUCCCCGGGCUCAACCCGGGAAUGGCAUUUGAAACUGGGUAUCUUGAGUGCAGGAGAGGGAAGCGGAAUUCCUAGUGUAGCGGUGAAAUGCGUAGAUAUUAGGAAGAACACCAGUGGCGAAGGCGGCUUCCUGGACUGUAACUGACGCUGAGGCACGAAAGCGUGGGGAGCAAACAGG
rnacentral:rRNA from 1 species